AAACCGGAGCUAAUACUGGAUAAUAUUUUGAACCGCAUGGUUCAAAAGUAAAAGACGGUCUUGCUGUCACUUAUAGAUGGAUCCGCGCUGCAUUAGCUAGUUGGUAAGGUAACGGCUUACCAAGGCAACGAUGCAUAGCCGACCUGAGAGGGUGAUCGGCCACACUGGAACUGAGACACGGUCCAG
rnacentral:rRNA from 1 species